UGAACAGCAACAUGAAAUGUCCUUUUCUGACAUUUCUCAGGGGAAGGUGCUUCACACGUAACCUACCCAGAGUUUCUAAACAUACUUUCACUUUGGAAGUGAAACCAUGGGAGAAAGAUGAUCUGAGGCUGCUGGUGGGUUGGUGUUGGGGGAUUUUGGCCUCUGUUCAGGCUUUUUUUGGGAGUAGCUGCAACUCUGCUUGGGUUAAAUUGCUCUUGUCAGCAGAGACCCCAGGCAGGUUUCAGAGCAGCAGAAUUUUUACCCACCUGAUUUUCCAAACAUAAACCGGGUUUUGGCUCCAGGACCAUAUCCUUUUUUAUCAGCAGUUACAGUAGAUAGAGUGUAAGCAAGGAGUUCUCAAGACUCUCAGCUGCAUGAAAGGCUGCAGAAAUAGAGCUCAGGCUUCUGGACUCCCCUCUAACCUGAGCCUAUCUCCUGCCACUUGGGAAAAAAUGUACCACAACUCUGUGUGUUUUUAACUGAUUAAAUCAUUUAAAAGUGGUUGUCCCAUCAAUAUGACCAGUCCCUUUAAAGAACAGUUUUUAAGAGGGAAGGAAAUCAGUUUUUAAGUUUCCAAGCUGGUUAUUUCUAAUAUAAUGCAGGGGAAAUGCUUUUAACAGAUUCUAAAGAAUACUUUGCUAUUUGUUUGUAACUAAGCAAUGCAAGUGUGUCUAACAGACACUUAAAUGCAGAGGGAUGGACAUGCAACCCCCCAAACACACAGAAUUUAUGUAGCACAUCCUUCCUGAGAGGCUGGCUAGGAUUGUCAAUGACCAUUGUCUGACAGAAGUAUUGAUGGCACUUUCUGUAUUUAUAAGCAUCAACCAUGAAACAGAAGAGGAUAAAACAGAUGCAGUCUCAGACACAUCUCUUCCAUCUUCAGAUCUUGUUGACCUUUUGCUAUCAGAAGCUAAAGAACUGUUAGCACCAAUGCUCUCCAACAAGGACGACUCACAGGGUAUGGAGUCAAAGACUUGUGCCCAGGGCCAAAGGAAAGGUGUUUAUCCAGGGAAAAGAAACAGGCAGGAGGAUGGUUUCACAGAGUCAUUGACAUGCUGGUUGAAAGGGACUGCUGGAGACCAGAUCUUCUGCUCCAGGUAGGGCUCUCCCAGUAGAGGGGAUCUGCAGUGGGUUUAGCCAGCCAGGAUGGAGAUCCACAGCCUUCCUGGAUGGUGUUCCCUCACUGCUCUGUGACAAGGACCUUCCCAGCACCCAGGGCAGCCCCCAGGGGCAGCCUGUGGCAACUGCCCCCGGUUACACUGGCUGCAGUGCUCAGCUCCAGCAUCCUUUAAUUGCCCCUGACACAGCAGUGGGGGCUGUGAAGUUGCCUCUUGGCCUGUUCUUU
rnacentral:lncRNA from 1 species